rnacentral:lncRNA from 1 species
CACCCCACUAUUUUCCAUGAUCAAUCUAAAUCAUAUACAGCAAAAAGGUAGAUCUAAAAAAUAUCUGAUAAGAGAUGGUGGAUAGCAGCCCCCAGAUCUCUUUCUUUCUUACAAAACUUGAAGAAAACCCUAGAUCUAAAACCUUGCUGCUGAUCCUCUGAAGCAAAAAACUCCUUGAUCUUCUCUUCUUCCUCCUCCAUGCUCAACCAGCUCUGAUACCAAUUAAAA